ACUGCUGGACAACUUAACUGAACGGGAAGUGACAUUGCUUGGUCCCUCCCCCUCUUGCACACAGGCUUUUCAUUGGCCGCUUGUCAUAGAAUCAGAAGUGAGUGUCACUGAGGCGGCAUUCCAAUCAAGGUUUGAGUUCCCCUCCCUCACUUGCCCUAAGCAGGGCCAUAUGUUAAGAGGGUUACGACACUCCCAUAGGGAUCCAUUAUACGUUUUUACUUCGGGGUAAUUCUGGGUUAUGGAGCCUCGAGUAGUUCCAAACAUGGGACGAGGGCGGACCCCAUUCAUACGAAUGGCUGGCUGUAAAGUAUAUUCGGAGGUAAGUUGAUGAAAAAAACGAUCCCUUUUGAAUUUUCAACCGUCUGUAUUCUAUCAGAGGAGCUUUAUGAUGUAUAUGUUGAGCUUUAUUUGUAUGUGCAUGGUGUAAUCAUAGGUAUAUUUGAUCUUGGUUGACGAGUGAUUUUCUCCUACUUUUUAAGCUGAGUCUGCUAACUAGGAAUGUAUCGCCAGGGAUUGUCAACUCUUUCAGAGGCCCUUUGUGACAUACACACUCAUCUGUAUUUACGCGAGGAGGCGAUACAAGUUAAAAGCAUGUAUUGGCCUUCAAAUCUGCCCAUACAAAGUCGCAGCUGAUAGCUGGAUAAACAAUCCAAAGGAAUUGCCUGCAGUGGAGUCUACAACUACCUCAUAAAGUCACCCAGAAGAAUGAAGAACUUCAAAUGCGGCUCCGAACUGUUCCUUGUGUUACAACCCGCAACACGGCAACUUUUAGUCAUUCCGCCGGAAAAAAAGACCGCAAAUAAGACAAACAUUCAACGCGUUUGCACUACAAUGCACGACAGCAACUGCUUGCGACUCGUGUUUCAAUAUGGCAACGCUUUGUUGUGGCUGGUGACGUCAUUGAUGCCCGGAUGUCCGACUGCGAGAAUGUGUCUGGCGGAGAGGGAAGAAGCGUGCGGAUAACAAACAAGGUUGGAAAAACAGCUUGUUUUGGUGAUUGCUUGUUCGGUGCGGUUGCGGCCAACAGUAACUGUUAAUCCUGUAAUAAAAAAAGUAGGUGAGAUCUCCGUGCAUUCUCUAUAUCCAGUGCGACGCUACAAUAGAUAUUCCCGACAUUUGGAUUGGUUGGGGACGACUCACGUCUGUGUGGGCCGUGCCCACCCCGGUCCCCCCAUACAUCCGGCCCCGAUUUAUAAUACAAAACUAAUGUAUAUAUAUUUUAUUUAGGUUACAUUUUCAUGAUCCACAUCAUGCUGCUGCUGGUGCCUGCUGAUGGCGACUGCUGGCUGUGGGCACUAAGCCCGUUUUUAAAUGGCAACAAACACACAAAAAAGCCUGUAGAAGCCAUAUUCACUGUGACAAUUCAGUGCAUCAAUGUGUUUAUUUUGAAACUGUGUUAUUGUUUUUGCCACCAGGGGGCACCACCAAUGUCAUUAGGUAUUUUACUAUAAAGGUGCGCCUAGAGAGCCACUGUUAUUUAGUGCACCUGGUGGACACACGGUUUUUACCACAGCACGCCAUAGCAUGAGCUGCAUUGGAAAGUGGACUGUUUGCUGAAUGAUUGGAAUAAAUCACCAAACUAAAACCAUCCAUGUGGGCAGUUCUUUGCCGGUAGCCUAUGCGUACAUUCAGGUUCAGAAGGUGUACUCAGUAUUGGCUUGAUUUUGAUUUCAUGUUUGGACGACUGACCAUUGCCAUCCAUUUUUUCUCUUGCUCUUGGUCCUUUGGGAAACCAUGCUGCAUAACCAACCAUCACAGGCCACUGAUCUAUAAAUUGUUAGGCGUGAACAAUGAACCAUGACACCAAUUUCACUAAUUGUUCAAUAAAAAAUAUGAUUUUCUUUAUCAAUGGGU